rnacentral:tRNA from 1 species
GGAGAGGUGGCAGAGUGGUUGAACGCGGCGGUUUUGAAAACCGUUAUACGUGAAAGCGUAUCGGGGGUUCGAAUCCCCCCCUCUCCG